UGUGAUUACACUUUUGUCAUUAAGAAGAGUUUUUGCCUUAAAAUUGUGGGAAUCCAGGGAAGACUGCCACAGCAGAGGCAGGAUGUGAACAGGCCUGGAUGAGUAGGAUACAGAUUGGAAAACUAAAGGGGAAAAAAACAUUCUAAAUAGGAUAAAGGGAUACGAAUAAAAGAACAACUCUGGAAUGGGUGUGUUACAUUAGGGAUGGUUCAGAGACAGAAUAGAGGAGUCUCUUGGAAGCAGAGUUUACACAGGGCAGAUAAUACUCAAAGGUUUGAUGAGGCCCAAACAUUGCCAAAUGCAACCAUUGUUAGGAAUCGAUUUUGCAAAGUCUUGACAUUUGACAUUGAGUCCAUGUGGAAGGAAUGUGCUACAGUAAUAGCAGCUUUAUUCAUGACUGCCAACACUUGCAAGCAACCAAGAUGUCCUUCAAUAUGUAAAUAGAUCAAACCAAUACAACCAUGUGAUGGCUGUACUUAUUCAGUGAUGAAAAGAGCUAUCAAGCCACCAAGAUACCUGGAGGAAACAAAUGCAUACUGCUAAGUGAAAGAAGUUCAUCUUAGAAGAACUAAGAAAGAAGCUACAUACUGUGUGACUUCAACUAUAUGACAUUUGGGAAAAAGCAAAACUAUGGAGACUGUAAAAAGACCAGUGGUUGUCAGCAAUUACAGGAAGAGUAGGAUGAAGAGGCAGAGGGUUUUUAGGGCAGUGGAACUAUUCUGUACAAUACUAUAAUGGCAGAUACGUGGCAUUAUACAUUUGUCAAACCCAUAGGAUGCACAACACAGAGAAUGAACCCUAAUGUAAACUAUGAACUUUAGUUAAUAAUAUGUCAAUAUUG
rnacentral:lncRNA from 1 species